rnacentral:lncRNA from 1 species
UAAACAGACUUUUAAAAAACACAUCUCUUAUGAAAGCUCUUGGGAGCAGGAGUUCUUUCAGUCUCCCGGGGCAUAGCAAGCAAAGCAAGGUAAGUUAUCUUGACACCAAGUCCUCGAGCAGCAGAUCUUUUGGGGAAUGAACAAAGUGCUCUGUAGAGCCAGCCUGGCUUAUCAUCAGAGUCAUCUGUAUCCUUGAAAAGUACAGCUGGGGUUAGGGAAGCUGCAGAGAACACUUAUGUUAGACUGACAUGCUUCUCCAAGCAAGGGAAUCAUCAUGACUUCAGCUUCAGGCUAAGUAUUUUUAGUAUUCUUUGCUCCAGAGGGGAGUUUAUAUCAUAACCAAUUGAUUUGCAUGGAGCUUAUUGUUAGAUAUAAGAUUGCUGGUGUUUUUUUGUUUGUUUUUUUUUCUUUUAAUUAUUUUUUCUUUAAAAAAGAGAGAAAAGAACUUGAAAAAAUUCCAUGCUUUUCAAGAAUUUUCCUUAUUACAGUAACCCUGUGUGAGCUAUUUCCAGCAAUACUGAAUUUUGAACUUGGAAUCUUUAUCAUAUUAAAUAUUUACUGUGUUGUGCAAAUAAAUAUGUACAUAUGAAUGUGUAUAAAUUUCAAAAAAUAUUUCUUUCCACUGUUUUGGUAAUCUCAUGGAAUUUAUUGACACUUUGGGAGUCACACGGUUUAAUGCAAACAGUACUCAGUUGACCAGUAUGCCAGGAGAAAUAAGAAGGUAUUGUAAAAAAAGAACAAAGACUAUAUUUUUUUUUGUCUUGCUUUUCUGAUUCUUCAUUAAAUAGUAAGUUACUUUUGACAGCUGUUCAUUUUUAAUUUUGGCCAUAUGGAGGCAUAGUGGGAGGAUGUUUCCAACAUUCUACCUAUCCAGGAUUACUAAAAAUGAGAGAAACAAAUGUUAAAUGCACAAAACCAUAGAGAAAUGAAUUAUUAUUUAUUUUUUUUCCCACCUAGAGAAAAUAAAAAAGAGAAUUUCCCAAAUGUAUCAACUGAAAUUCUCAUAAAACUUGACCAGACCCUGCUAAGCGACUGGAAGCAGGAAAAACUGUUGCAAUCCUGUGGUGAGUCAGUAGAUUUCAAGAGAGUGACUGAUCCACGGUGCACGCUUGCAGCUAUUUCUACCUAUAUGAAGAUGCAGCAGGACCAAAGGACAGCUGUCACCCCUUACACUCUCAAGC